rnacentral:rRNA from 1 species
UACAGAGGGUGCGAGCGUUAAUCGGAUUUACUGGGCGUAAAGGGUGCGUAGGCGGUUAUAUAAGUGGAAUGUGAAAGCCCUGGGCUCAACCUAGGAAGUGCAUACCAUACUGUAUAGCUGGAGUAUAAGAGAGGGUGGUGGAAUUUCCGGUGUAGCGGUGAAAUGCGUAGAGAUCGGAAGGAACGUCAAUGGCGAAGGCAGCCACCUGGCUUAAUACUGACGCUGAGGCACGAAAGCGUGGGGAGCGAACAGG